rnacentral:rRNA from 1 species
GACGAACGCUGGCGGCGUGCUUAACACAUGCAAGUCGAACGAUGAACCCGGAGCUUGCUCCGGUGGAUUAGUGGCGAACGGGUGAGUAACACGUGAGUAACCUGCCCUUGACUCUGGGAUAACUGCGGGAAACUGUAGCUAAUACCGGAUACGACCCUCGGCGGCAUCGCCAGGGGGUGGAAAGAAUUUCGGUCAAGGAUGGACUCGCGGCCUAUCAGCUAGUUGGUGAGGUAACGGCUCACCAAGGCGACGACGGGUAGCCGGCCUGAGAGGGUGCACGGCGACACUGGGAGUGAGACACGGGCCAGACUCCUACGGGCGGCAGCGGUGGGGAAUAUUGCACAAGGGGCUCAAGCCUGAUGCAGCAACGCCGCGUGAGGGAUGACGGACUUCGGUUUGUAAACCUCUUUUAGUAGGGAAGAAGCGAAAGUGACGGUACCUGCAGAAAAAGCACCGGCUAACUACGUGCCAGCAGCCGCCGUAA